AUAAGCUUAUCUGCUAGGACCUCAUUUGGCUGCUUGUAGUUAGAAAACACAUCUUCAAAAAUAAUGAAUAUUGAAACUAAAAAAUGGCGUGAUUCAUCUCCAAUCGAACUUCAUUUUGCGCCCAGAUAACUGUCUUUCUCCUUCGUGCGUUUCUUAGACAAAUCCGGUAGAGAAAGAAACAUAGCGAAGGUGAACAGUGUUACAUCAAUAAUGGCGCCGCACUGUUCACCCGCAACCAAAUACCAUAAGUUUUUCUGUUUCAGCUGGAGCUCGCGAGCGAACGCCAUUCAUGUGUUUGGAGUUCAGUUGGAGAAGGCUUCAAAGCCUAUAAAAGUGAGGAUUCUGAUAUCUCACUUAAAAUAAUUCAAAAACAACUUCUACAAGCAACUAAAUGAGCUGUAAAAUGAACAAAUUCAGAGCAAUCAUUGAGUGGGAAUAUGCUGAACAGCCAAUGGCAUGCCAUAUUACUCAAUGGUUUUUAUUCUGUUAUGUGUGUUUGUUUCUGCUUCUCCAUAAUCUAGAAGAAGACAUGAAAUAGGGGCCAAAUAAGCAGUAUGUCAUAGGGUGGACCACUUGACCAUAAUUCACACUGAGGUCAUUGUUUGCACUGUCUAAAUUAUUUGUUCUUUGAUUUUGACAGCUUUUGAAUUUACUUUGAUUAUUUUAACUAUUUACUUCACCAUUGAUGGUAUUUCUUGUGCA